rnacentral:rRNA from 1 species
AUUGAACGCUGGCGGCAUGCUUUACACAUGCAAGUCGAACGGCAGCGAGGAGAAGCUUGCUUCUCUGUCGGCGAGUGGCGAACGGGUGAGUAUAGCAUCGGAACGUGCCAAGUAGUGGGGGAUAACCAAACGAAAGUUUGGCUAAUACCGCGUAAGCUCUAAGGAGGAAAGUAGGGGACCUAAAUAAGGCCUUACGCUAUUUGAUCGGCCGAUGUCGGAUUAGCUAGUUGGUGGGGUAAUGGCUCACCAAGGCAAUGAUCCGUAGCGGGUCUGAGAGGACGAUCAGCCACACUGGGACUGAGACACGGCCCAGACUCCUACGGGAGGCAGCAGUGGGGAAUUUUGGACAAUGGGAGAAAACCUGAUCCAGCCAUGCCGCGUGUAUGAAGAAGGCCUUAGGGUUGUAAAGUACUUUUAUUAGGGAAGAAAAGCCAGUUUUUAAUAAAUAUUAGUGAUGACGGUACCAAAAGAAUAAGCACCGGCUAACUACGUG